CAUUUCCUGUCUGGGUACUAUAAUUAGAAGCCAGGACUGUGAUGCUGUCCUGAUGCUCUGAUGUCUGCUAGCUGAUUAUCUUGGACUUUAGCUUGGAUGAAUGGAUAUCCCUACUGGUAGAAAUCGUCGGCCACUACACUGGUAGUUCACUUGACCCAUAUGUUGUCCUUGAGGGCUUUGAAUUACUACUUAUAAUGUGCACAUGAAUUUGGAUGUCAUAAUUAUGCUCGUCUUGACAGAGAUUCUACACUGGAAUCGAAACGUUGACAUACUGAGCUAUUAUAUCGAACAUUAAAGAUGACUAUAUUUGGACUGGACCAAUUUAUUCUUAGGAGAGUGCAUCUCCCUGCAUAGGGAUCGGCUUUAUAUUUGUGGACUCAUUAUUUCAAUGUACUUCCACUGGAUGCACCCCGCCGUUGCUAUUUAUUAGAUGAGAGUGCGGGUAUACUCACUAUAUAUAUAUAUAAAUAUAUGCAGGUGCAAAGUUUGUGGCACUCGCAGGACUUCCAGGUAUCCACAGGUUAUACUCACAUCCUAGCAGCACACUCCUUCUUAUCAACGUUUCAUUUUAAUAACAUAAAAUUUUGUCAGAACUUUGUUAUUAAAAUGGUAAGCCUAACUAUGCCUAACCUUGUACUUCCAGCAUGAUGGUGUUGGACAACGGACAUUUCUUUGUAAAGGUUGAAAUGCUUUAUUUGAUAAUUGAUAGAGAUAGAUAUAUAGAUAUAUAUAUAUAUAUAUAUAUAUAUAUAUAUUUUUGAUGAUUGAUGAAAUAUAUAUCAUUGCUCCACGUCAUUAUGCAGCAUGAAUCCUAGACAGCAGCUGAGUCAGGCCGAAGGGCUUUGUAUGUCAGAAUAAUCAUACUAUUAAACCAACCUAAUGAACAGCAA